GUCCCUAUGGGGUCCCUAUGGGGUCCCUAUGGGGUCUCCAUGCGUCCCUAUGGGGUCCCUAUGGGGUCCCUAUGGGGUCCCUCCGCCCCACAGCGCUUCCCCCGGAGCUGCUGCCGCUGUUGGCCGCCAUGUUGGACCCGGACCCACAGCGGCGCCCCACAGCGGAGGCUCUGCUGCAGUCGGCCCCUAUGCGGCGUGUGGGGCGAUGGCGGCCGCUCCUCCGCCUCCUGGAUGUGGGGCUGCGCCGGGGGGCGGAGCUGCUGCAGCACCCCCGAGGGCAGCCCCACAGCUAUGGGGCGCCUGCGCCGCACUCUCACCUUCGAGGAGGAUUCAGAGCCCCAUAGCGCCGCCCCAUAGCGCCGCCCCAUAGCGGGAGCGCUGAUUGGCUGACGGGAUGGAAACGACGCUUCAUGAUUGGCCGAUGGGACAGGACUGAGUUCUGAUUAGCUGAAGUAAUGAAAUCAACGACGCUGAUUGGCCAAAGGAAUGGCGCGGUGCUUCUGAUUGGCCGGUGGGACGGCGCUGCGUUCCGAUUGGCCAAAGGAAUGGGAUCAACGCUUCCGAUUGGUCGAAGGGUGGUGGUUGGAACCGCCCACUAAAGCGCUGCGCGGCAACGGAGCGAGGGGGCGUGGCCAAAGCUAAGCCCCGCCCCCUUUCACCCCCCCCCCCCCCCCCCCCCCCCCCCCCCGUUGCAAUCCCAUUGGCGGACAUCAAAGUGGCAGCACCAUAUAUGGGCGUGGGCUGCGCGUGGUCUAUUUGCAUAGCCACGCCCAGCUCCCCCCGGCGAUUUGAAUAAAGCUUUCAUAUUCAUGAGCUUCGCCCCCU
ensembl:lncRNA